rfam:Felis catus isolate Cinnamon breed Abyssinian chromosome X, whole genome shotgun sequence.
GUCUGGGUGGUUCAGUGGGUUGAGCGUCUGACUUCGGCUCAGGCCAUGAUCUCACGAUUUGUGGGUUCGAGCCCCACGUCGGGCU